AACGAACGCUGGCGGCGUGCCUAACACAUGCAAGUCGAACGAGACCUUCGGGUCUAGUGGCGCACGGGUGCGUAACGCGUGGGAACCUGCCUUUAGGUUCGGAAUAACUCAGAGAAAUUUGAGCUAAUACCGGAUGAUGUCUUCGGACCAAAGAUUUAUCGCCUUUAGAUGGGCCCGCGUUGGAUUAGCUAGUUGGUGGGGUAAAGGCCUACCAAGGCGACGAUCCAUAGCUGGUCUGAGAGGAUGAUCAGCCACACUGGGACUGAGACACGGCCCAGACUCCUACGGGAGGCAGCAGUGGGGAAUAUUGGACAAUGGGCGAAAGCCUGAUCCAGCAAUGCCGCGUGAGUGAUGAAGGCCUUAGGGUUGUAAAGCUCUUUUACCCGAGAUGAUAAUGACAGUAUCGGGAGAAUAAGCUCCGGCUAACUCCGUG
rnacentral:rRNA from 1 species